CCUGGGCUGAUGCCGCUGGAAUCCCCCCGUGCCGCCUGCACUGUUGACUCCGGAACGACCUGGGCGGUGAUCAUGGCACUUGGCAGAAUGUAUCACUUUCCCAGAGCUGCACAGAGGAUGCCUUUCCUUUGGAAACCAGAGACACGCCUGUCUGACGUCUUGGGGUUCAGCGGCACCAGACAUCCUCCAGUCCAGUAUGGGACCCUCAAACAGAGACCAUGCCUAAUCUGAAGUUGCCAUUCUCCCUGCGCCGCAGAUUUUUACACAUGCAAAAUGGAUAUCAGAGUGCCUUGGCUGCCUGGCAACACCAGAGAGAGACUGGAGAGGCAAAUGAAUGAAAAUGAGAAAAGGACAGUGAGAGUCAAGACGAUGCCCCGGACAGUUCAAAGGGUGCAUUCCUAGCAUUUGACAGAGGGUAAAUGAUGCAUUUCAAACUCAAAUCUAUUUCCUCUGUUUUAACGAAGUCAACCGUGAAUAAAACCGACUCGCUAGAGAUGUUGCUA